rnacentral:lncRNA from 1 species
GAAUAAGGAGUUGAGGGGACAUGUUCCCAACUAACUCCGUCUACUGAAAUAAACUGAAAACUGAAAUAUUGAUAUGAAUAAUAACAUAAUUGAACUCGAAGGAUGAGUACUCACUAUUAAUUACUGCUUCUAGCUGACUCUGAAAUUGCUAAGGGAGCUCUGGAUCCCGUGCAUCCAAACCUAUGGUGUAAGACACCAUAGCGUGAGAAAAGUAUGCAUUAGUACUUUGAAUGUACUAGUAUGCAAGUGAGGUAGGGUGAAUGCAUGGGGUUCAUAUGUAUAAACAAUACUGACUAACAUGAACGUGAGAAUACAUGCAUGAAUACAUAAUAACUGUAACUGAAACUGUACUAGUACUGGAUACUGAAUUCUGUGUACUGAUUUACUGACAUCUGAGUUUACUGAAUAAAGAGGAACUGAUGUUAUAUUAAUGAUAAAGAAAAUCACUGUUUCUGAUAGUUCUGAUUAUGAAGAAUUGAUCUGAUUAACCGUAUAUAACAGUCCUAAAACUGAGUUCGUGAUAACAUGACUACCGAGUAUGAAUACUGAUGACAUGUAUUUACUGAUAACAUAUCAUUACUGAUAACUGAAUUCUGAUAACUGAUAACAUGAGUUCUGAUAACUGAUAGCAUGAAUGACUAUAUCUGACAGUCCUGGAUCUGAUGGAACUAGUUGAGUUGCGUACUGUAUCUGAGUUGCCUGUAUCUGUCAGUCCUGAUAUCCUGAAGAACUAUCUAAGUUCUUUUACUGAGACUGAUACUAAAACUGUGGGAAGUAGUUAUCUAACCGACAUGCCCCAAAUACGCUAUAAUAGCUAAGCUGGGGUCCAAUCUUUGCCCUGAUUGGAAGGGUGUCAAUACUGCGCCCCUAGUAAGGACAAGCUGUGAGUGACCCUCAUCUGGCAGAUACUCUAAUGAGAACGGUGGGAAACCUCAUCUGACAGGUCAAGCCACCUCAUCUACCCUAAACUGACAGGUAUUGAUGUCUCAACCUAUGAAGGCUACAUAGUUCUGGAAUGCAAGGACUGCUUCUAAGAAUCACACCCUGUACUGGCACGUGAGAUCCCAUCCUUGGGUUCGCUAGGCACUGAAUCCUACUGCCAACUGAAUGACAUUGAACUGAUUAUACUGAACUGAUUUCCUAGUUCAUACUAGAAUUAACUCAACUGUUACUGAUUGUUCUGUUUAACUGAACUGAACAUGGACUGAUUUUAUAGAGUUUCGAUUACUAGCGAAACACUACUGAAUUCUGUUAACUGACUAAAUGCUACUGAGUUUUAUUAGCUGAUUGAGUUUACUGAUGUCUGAACUUAACACAGAACUAAACUGUACUGAUACUGAGAUUUACUGAAUUCCAUAGACUGGCGGAAUAUUACAGAGAUUAUGUAGAUUACUGAGUACUGAGUAAAUCUGAACUGAUACUGCCUUUUCAUGAGUUUUCCUGAGUCAUGAGACUGACUGAAGUCUACUGAACAUGGCUUGACUGAGAGUAUCGUGAAAACAUGACAUGUCUCUAGGCACCGAGCUAUAUUUUUGGGGUACAAGUACCCCCAGGACUCGAUGGAAGGAAACUGACACAUCAUGAAAAUUCUUGAUCAUAGGACUAAAGAUCCGCAAUUCAUAAUACCAUAAGUUGGGGAUUUCAUGAAAGCACUUGAUAAUUAUAAUCUUGUACAUGAAUAGGAAUGUAUCCUAACAUAUCAUAAUUUCACAAUUUUAAUUUUACUUGCAUGACAUGAACUUGUAUACAUGCUAACAUAAUGUAGUUUCAUUACUUAACUUUCAUGAACCAUUUGUCAAACACCUGCAAGACAUAGCAUCAACAUGGAAAUCAUUUAAAUCAUGUAGUAUUAACAUGAAUUCAUUAUUUAGAUCACCAAUAGAUCACAAGGCACAAUUCAUUCACUUGAACAUUUUCACAAACACAUGAAAGACAUGAUUUUAUACUUAGGCAUGUAUAACAUGCUCCCAAUUCAUGACCAUAACCACCAAUUCACAUCUCAAGGUUUUCAAUAUAUGAUGGUCAUGAUUCAACACACAUGGGAAGCAUAGAUAUUUCAUUCAUCAAUUAACAUAUAUCAAUAUUAUGGGUAUAACAUCCAACUUGCAAAUUCCAAGAACUCAACAUAAAUCUCAUAUGAAUUAUACCACAAAUUAAUUAGUUUUCAUGAUUCUUGAAAUAAAUCAUGGAAUUAAAACUCAAUUUAACAUCAACAACAUGAUUAUAAACAUCCCACAACAAAAUAUUCAUGAUACAUAACUUAAAACUUGAUUCUUGAGCUCCAUGGAUGAAAAGAAUCCAUGAAUGAACACUAUUCAUACCUUAGAUGAAUUAUCCGUGACAGUUAACGGUGAAAUUGGCUUGAAUCUUGAAACCCUCAAUUGAACCCUUACUUGUUCUUGAUAAUUUUUGAGAGAAUUUGAGAAAAAAGGAGUAUAUUCUGCUCUAAAUUAGGCUUAAUGCCGUGUUUGAGCAUAUAUAUAGGAUGGGCAAAAGACUAAAAUACCCCUAGAGAAAGAGAGAAAGACACAACUGUCCUAUCUUAUUUCCAAGCUGAUAGGCUGAAGUAAAUUGAUUAUAACUCUUUGCUCCGAUGUUUAAAUUGGAUGAAACCAAUUGCAUUCGAAAGAGGACUCAAAGAUCUUUUCAUAUAUAUUUAGCAGCUCUUACAAUUCAAAAUAUUCAAGAAGUGAUGAUCGUUUUAAAUUAACCCUGAAAGGCUGAAAAUUUUUGGAGCAUGCUAUAGAGCAUGCGAAGCAUGCAAAUGGCACGGUGCUUCUGUUUUGAAAUCGAAAAAUUCCCUUAACGGAUUCCAAAAAUUUUGAAACUCAUUUGAGAUGUACUCUUGACUUACCUGAUCACAACGCAACUUGAAAAUCCAAAAACGGAGAUCGAGAAGGUCGUCAAAUAAAUCCCCAAAGUUCGGAGGUAUAAGAUAAAACUAAGUGUUUCUAACACUUAGCAAAAUUCUUAUAAGUGUUAGAUUUCCUUAAUAAGCCUUAAGGAGUUGAAUUUCACUUAAGAUUUUUAUGGGGUCUUACAAUAUCUUCCCCUUAGAAACAUUCGUCCUCGAAUGAGACUUACUAAGAAGGGGAGUAGAGACCAACUGAGGCUUAUACUGAGCAUGAAUGACUGAAACAUGAUUUCAUGACUUACAUGACUGAUAAGCUGAAUUUGUAUCAAACUAAACAUACAUAUCUUAUGCAUGUGUAACUGAUUUAUGAAUGAAGGACUGAGUGUUCUGAUGAACUGGGUUUCUCCAAAUAAGAAUACAUAUCUUGUGUAUAACUAAUAAGCUGAAUUCAUGCAUAUCUGAUGCAUGAUUAUAUGACUGAACCGGCUUGUGAACAUGCGACUUAAUAUGCAAUAGUAAAAGAUGCCAAGUUUAACUAAAACUUGGGCAUGAAACUAAAUACCAAGUUUGGUACUGAAAUCUGAACAUGAGAACGAGUAAGUUUAAGGAAGACUGUUACAUUGAACUUAAAAUACCGAUGAGUCUAAGAUUAAUUACUCAAUAUGCAUGAGCGGAAAUGUGAGGACAUAACUGAGUCUGGAACGUGAUACAUGAAAUGAAUAUUAUGAUAUGAACUGAGCCUGUAAUGCGUGACAUGGAUAGAGUAUCGUGAACUAAACUGAGCCAUUGAGUAGAUAGCUUACGACUGAGAUUUAGAUUUAGAAGGCCAUCUUAUAAGUAACCCUUCCUCUAAGCUGGAUUCAUGACAUAAAGAGAGACCGGUAUGUUUGUGUCAUUACAGCUUGAGGGAUUAGAGUGUAUCUGCCCCUUGGGACACUAUGUCCCUUGAAGAAUGCUGCACUGCCUUUCCUGAAAUAUUGAGGAAAACUAGGGUGAUCCACAAGGCAUGUAGGAACUGAAUCGUGACAUAAUUAUCUAAUAUUUGGUACUGAGGCAUGAUACAUAAACUGGGUUAUACUCGCAACUACUAGGACACUCUAUCUUGGAAUAGUUACAUUCAAGCCUAUCAUUAAUACUGCACCCUUGUAUAAAAUAAUCAUGCAACAAUCUUCUCUUAACAUGAAAUAUUUUCUCUCUCCUAUCUAAGCAACCACUCAUCACUACACUAUUUUCAUAAAGAGAGCUGACUGAAGGGUUAAAUCAGGAGGACCUGAAGCAUGAAUCGAUACAAACUGAACUUGACACAUGACUGAAACCUGAGGAAUAUAAUAUCAACAACAUGAAUUUACAAAAAAGGUAAGAACUGAGGAUAUACAUGACAUAGUCUGAAUUUAUCUGAUCUGUAGGGGCAUAGCAUGAGUCAUGAAAGCUGAGUAUACUAUAAAGCAUGAUAUGUGUACAUGAGUCAUGAGCUGCAUGACCUAAGUUUCGAAUUUUUGUAUUUGUGAGACGUGAUUCAUGACACUGAGUGAUUUAGAUGACUCCCUAUGCUGGGAACUGAAAGCACACAUGAUUCUAUGGAAAACGCGUGAACAUAAGUCGUGUUCAUGAAAUUGAUUCAUACUAUGGGGUAAACUUAGAUCCUUUAUACUGGUAACUGAAACCGUACAUGAUUUAUGGAAAAGUGCAUGAUCGUGGUUCGUGACCUUAGAGUUGAUAUGUAAGACCUAAGUUGAUUUCAUGAUAGCUGAAGUACAAAUCUUUGUACUGAGAAGAGGAUGGGUUGGGAAUCGUCUUGCCUUACUGCAUUUCUAUAAUAAUGAAAAGUUAAGGUAUUUUUUAAAGUAAUUUUUCCUUAAAAAAAUUGAAGUAUAAAGAAGAAUUAUCCACUUUUUAGCAAAAAAUAUUUUAGAAUUUUGAAUUAAAUGUCUCAAAUCUUCAUAUUAAUAAUAUAAAACUUUUACAACAAUAACAAGUUAAUAUAAUGGAAACCAAUAUUGACUUAGCAUUUUAUUAUUUAGAAUUAAUCCUUACUUUUAUUAUAAUAAUCAUAUUAAUAAUAAUAAUAAUAAAAUAUUUAAUGUCUUUUAAUAAUACUAGAAUUUCUAUUAAAAUUUGGAUCUAGCCCACUUAUUUAAUACCCUUGCAACUGAAU